GGACGAAUGGCAGAGCGGUUGAAUGCACCUGACUUGAAAUCAGGCAUACUCGCAAGGGUAUCGUGGGUUCAAAUCCUACUUCGUCCGCCA
rnacentral:tRNA from 1 species